rnacentral:rRNA from 1 species
UAAGUUCAACUGUCUCACGGUGUAAACCGCGAAUGGUCAUUAAAUCAGUCGAGGUUCCUUAGAUGACACGAUCCUACUUGGAUAACUGUGGCAAUUCUAGAGCUAAUACAUGCUUCGCAAGCUCCGACCCUCGUGGAAAGAGCGCUUUUAUUAGUUCAAAACCAAUCGUCGUCUCGCCGUUUUCGGGGGGGCGGCGUCCCACUUUGGUGACUCUGGAUAACUUUGUGCUGAUCGCAUGGCCUUUUGUGCCGGCGACGCAUCUUUCAAAUGUCUGCCCUAUCAAAUGUCGAUGGUACGUGAUAUGCUACCAUGUUUGUAACGGGUAACGGGGUAAUCAGGGUUCGAUUCCGGAGAGGGAGCAUGAGAAACGGUUACCACAUCCAAGGUAAGGCAGCAGGUGCGCAACUUACCCACUCCCGGCACGGGGAGGUAGUGAGAAAAAUAACAAUAACGGGACUCU